GAUUAGCUCAGUUGGGAGAGCACCUCCCUUACAAGGAGGGGGUCACUGGUU
rnacentral:tRNA from 1 species